rnacentral:snoRNA from 1 species
CUUCGGUGAUGAUAAGAUGACGAGUCAGAAAUGGGUGGCUCUUGUUUCUGUGGUGCUGUGCUAAGACUGCCUUGGGCAGGAUGUCCUACUCAUUGGAUGAUUUAGAGGCAUUUGUCUGAGAAGG